rnacentral:sRNA from 1 species
GGCUUAUUGAUCGUCUACGCUCCUGUGCUG